AUGAUCUCACCAACUUUGGACCCAGCGGACGAUCAAUUUAGCCGUGAGUUGGAGGAUUUAUUAUGGUUCAUUAUGAAAGAAAUGGAUUUCUGGGAGAACAUUCCCAGCAGGAAGGAGCAGGAGGCUAUCGUGGGGCGUACACGCAGGGCUGUCUCUUCAAGGCCCGAUUUGGAGGACGCCUUGCCCGAGUGGGCAGUUGAGCUGCUCAGCCCCACAGUCUUUUGGCCUGAGAGCUACAUGCCGGUGCCACCAGACUUUUGUGACCGGCCUAAGCCUCCACGCUCCUACUACCAGCCUCUGCCCCCGGCCCCCAGCUACCAGUCGCUGUCCCCGGCCCCCAGCCACCAGCCUCUGCCCCCGACCCCCCGCUACCAGCCUCUACCCCCGGCCCACCGCUCCCAGCCUCUGCCCCCGGCCCCCAGCUACCAGCCUCUGCCCCCGGCCCCCCGCUCCCAGCCUCUGCCCCCGGCCCCCCGCUCCCAGCCUCUGCCCCCGGCCCCCAGCUAUCAGCCUCUGCCCCCGGCCCCCAGCUACCAGCCUCUUUCCCCGGUCCCUAGCUACCAGCCUCUGUCCCCGGUCCCUAGCUACCAGCCUCUGUCCUCGGUCCUCCCCUACCGGCCUCUGCCCCCGGCCCCCCGCUACCAGCCUCUGCCCCCGGCCCCCCGCUACCAGCCUCUGCCCCCGGUCCCUAGCUACCAGCCUCCUCCCUUGCGGACAAUCAGAGUGGGGGUGGUGAGUUUGGGGUACCACCCGGUUCCUCCUGGCACUCCAGCACCCGCACUGACUCCAGUCCCCGAGCCCUGUCCGGUUCCUGAGCCCACUCCGCUCCUUCCAGAGGGGGAUCGGCCUCUGCUCCUGCCGGAGGGGGCCCGCCCUCCAGACCGUCCAGGGGAGGCACGCCCUCCGCUCCUGCCUGAGGGGGCCCGCCCCCUGCUCCUUCCAGAGGGGGCCCGCCCCCUGCUCCUUCCAGAGGGGGACCGGCCUCUGCUCCUGCCGGAGGGGGCCCGCCCUCCAGACCGUCCAGGGGAGGCACGCCAUCCGCUCCAGCCUGUGGGGGCCCUCCUCCACUCCACUCCUUCCCGAGAGGGGUUCCUCUCCAAGGCCUUCCAGAGGGGUCCCGCCUUCCAAACCUUUUGGAAGGGGCACGCCCUCUACCUCCAGAGGGGACCCGCCCUCUACUUGGCCUUCCUACAGAGGGGACCCGCCCUCUGCCUGGCCUUCCACCAGAGGGGACCCGCCCUCUACCUGGCCUUCCUCCAGAGGGGACCCGCCCUCUUCCUGGCCUUCCACCAGAGGGGACCCACCCUCUACCUGGUCUUCCACUAG
rnacentral:lncRNA from 1 species